rnacentral:lncRNA from 1 species
GCUUGUUGUCAGUGUUGCCACCUCUACAGAUUGAUCACGAGAUCUACAGUUUCUGUGCUUCAUUUCAGAUUGUCAGAUUUAACUUAGUAAUUGUGCUUAAUCUAAAGUCUUUGAAAGGUUUGUUCCAUACUUGACAGUUGUUCUAAAGUGACCUUGUGACUUCCAGGUUACAAGAUCUUUGAUGGGGAAGCAUAAUAACUGGAAAUUAAUGUUGAGGUAGUGAAGUUGCUCUCUAACAUUAAAAAAAGAACAAAAAAAAAAUAGUUGGGAACACCGGGAAGAAAAUCCCCUACCAGGUCUUCCUCGCAAUAAAACAAAAUGAAGGUUGAAUCAGCAGUGGAAUGCGUAAUUGGUGGUGGUAUUGCAAAUGGGGAGUGAUGAGGGGAUGAAUGAGGACAAGAUUAUGGAGACGCAGGAAAAGGAGAGUGAGAUGGAGGAUGAUCAGAGGAUGAAUGUGAAGGAAAAGGUUGUGAAGACACGGGGAAAGGAGAGCGAGAUCUCGGUGCAUGAUGCGGGGACGAAGGAAGAGACGGAAGGAAGUUGGGAAGCAGAAGAGGUACGGUGAGGAGAACUUGGACUGGAAGAUGAAGAAAGAUGCUGGAGUGAGGAAUGGAGCAAAAAAGGAUGCCGAGGUAAGGAAUGACGCGAGGAUGGAGGUAAUGAUGAUGGACUUGUAUCGUGACUUAAACCGGUUUAAGCCGUACCAGUAUUAUUUCUGAAAACCGGUAUCGGUAAUAACGGUAUUUUCGUUACACCGAACAUCGCAACUUGAUGACACCAGGACAUGAUCUGUAUCAGAACUCCAGAUGGAAACCAGUAAAACACCUGACCUCAUAUAUUUUACGCAAAAUUGAUCAUAUACAGUUAUAAUCUUCAUUCCCUCUUCACUUUCCUUUCCGUCAUAUAAACAGGCCCAGAUACAAAACCAAAUAAUUAAAUAAAAGCCAACUAUGUUAAUAAUCUUUAUUUUCUUAUUUCACAUUUUACUACCAUCUGUAUGGUAUCUUGCAAUACGAUUAUACAAAUUUAGCAUUCCCUGUUUAUAUCUUGCAAUACGAUUAUACAAAUUUAGCAUUCCCUGUUUAUAAAGUCUUAAAAUUACCAUUGUUUCAAGUAAAUAUAUUUUGUGACAAAUUUUUCAGAUUACAUUCUUCAGAGUAAUAAUUGUAAAUUUCACAGGUAAAAUAUGGUGGGGCUGGCAACCAUAGGAUUUGUUACUUUUUUAUUGUAGAGAAAGGGAGAGCAGGAAAUAAUAUAUAUAUAUAUAUAUAUAUAUAUAUAUAUAUAUAUAUAUAUAUAUAUAUAUAUAUAUAUAUAUAUAUAUAUAACAAGUAAAAAAAGGGAAGGGAGGAUAAGGCAAUUGUUCAUAUGACAGAUUCUGAUAAUGUUUAUCAUAUAUAGAAAAACAUCUAACAACCAGUCUAGCCUUUCACCAGUACAUUUUGUCUUUACCUAACAAGAGUAAUAAUUCUCAGGUAACUCAAAUUGCCUUUGGUGCUUCUACAAUAUGAGCAAAAAUCCUGCUACAAGCCAGUCCACAUAUAGUGUAUGUGGUUUACUACAUGUGCAAAUAUAGUCAUGUAAAUGCAAAUACCCACCCUGGUAUUAAAAGUGUAUGCCUGAGUGUCUAUCAGAUCAUGCAAAACAAGAAAAUAUCCAUGCUCUAAUCAAGCACCAUAUUAGUAUAGCUAGGAGGCAAAUCUCUCAUAGCAUUUGGUUGCAAUGUUAAUUCCAAGCAUGUAGCCUAAUAGCUAUUCAUAGCAUUCCCCAUUUCAUAUUGUGAAAAAAAAAAAAAAAAAAAUACAGUAACAGUAAAUCUCCUAAGUUAAAGUCUUCUAUGAAAAUAUAUUAACCUACUUUAAGUAGAUUUCUCCCUAAUAUAAACAUUUUGGAAAUUUCUCUAUGGUAUAAUUUUUUGCAUGAAAAAAUACAAACAUUUACUGAAAAAGUAUAGUGUUUGCCUGCAACUCUGAUAACCUGAGGUAGUUUUCAUAGAAGAUGCUGUUCCCAGGAUUAAAGACCAUAAAAUUCACAUGAGUGUGAGACAGCCCAUAUAGAUACUACAUCAAUAAUACAGAAUUACACAAUAUAUAUAGAUAUGUCAGAAAAAAAACUCUAGACAAGACAGAUUUAUUGGACAAUAAGACAACAGCUUUGUUAUUCACCUGGAUUUCAUCUACAGGUGGAUUUCCAAACUGUCGUCCCAUUUUCCAAUAAAUCUGUUGUGUGUAUAGUGAGUUUCUCUACUAUAUCAUCAACAUGGUAGUGUUUUUGACAUUCAUAUAUAGAUAUACACAAACACUCAACCUAGAUAUAAACAAUAACACCAAUGCCAUAUUCUGAAAUAUUCCAAACUCAAUGUGGAUUGCAAGUCCACUUAUUCAAAUGUAAACUGAUGAACUUUGGGUGUGUUGAGGUUUCUCAGUUAAAUGAAAGUUUGGCUUUAUCCUUCUAUAGAGGUAAAAGCUAUUUCUAAGAUUGAAAAAAUAAAUUUAAACAUUAGAAUCUGUCAGUAGUAAAUAUAAGUGUAAAAUGGAAAUUGGUGAAUCUUUCAGCAAAAAAAACAACAACACAUGUAUAAAUGUAAGGCAUUUCAUAAAGCACUUUCAUAUUUAGUCGCUGCUUGUAUGGCCGGAUUGUGUUCAGGUUUGCCCAUGUGAGCUUUGUUAUCAAGGGAGGGAAAAGAGACAUACGAGUAAUUGCCAAGUGUCUGAGAUUAAAACAUGGCAGAUCUAGAGCGAUGCCGUCUAAAAAGUCUGCACACUAAUUUCCGGGAAGCAAUUUGAUUUGUACAGUGAUUGGCUGGCAGUCCACUCUUAGUUUUUAUCUUGAAUUAACACUUUUUUGAGAGUGUAUCAAUUUUACAAUUAGUAUGCAAUAUUUGUAAUGAGUGAUUUAUGUAUUCAGAUUUAGCUCUUGUAUUUUGUCUUUGGAAACACUGAUUUAAUAUAGGUUGAUAAAUCUGCAUUAGUAAUAUGAGUACACUGUAUAUGAAAUUAACCUAUUAGCAGCGGAUGGCAUGAUUUGCUGCAAAGGCAGAGUUGGUUGUAGACGCGGAUGGCACCGUGCCAGACAAUGUAAACCAGCCACCCUAAUGCAAAAAUAUUUAAUUAAAACUGCGACCAAUGGGUUAAUAUCUUAAAAAAAUAAAAUUAUAAUAAUUCAAGAAAAAAACUAUAGACUGCCAACAACUAUGGACUAAGAUUUGAAGUAACUUGUUUAUUUCUGCAAGAAAUUCUUUGCAAAAUGACAAGUGACCCAAGCUUAUCCAAUCCUAUAUAGUAUGAUGUAGAAAUGACAUAUAGGUUUCACUUAUGCUAGUAAAAAUGCCAAUAUCUAAAGCUUGGCUCUACAAAUUUGUCACUUUUUUACCAUAAUAUUACAGAUAUUACUGCAUCUAGCUUUUAUAUGUAAAGACUUUUUUAGAAUUUGUGUAAAGGUUAGCAAUGUUUUAAUGUACCAAUAGCAUUAUUAUAAUGGGUGCUUGAACAUCAGAUCUACAGAUAAUAACAAAACCAAUAUUUUUUUUCUUUUUACCGGCAAGAGGCGUAAAUGACAUACAAUCCAUUUGACCCAGAUCAUACGUUUACUUUUGUUUUGCUGACAUAAUUGAAGAGCCAAAACUAUUAGAAUUACAAAGGGUAGUCCAGGUACCCUACUACAUAAUUUAUAGUGGAUGGAUUAUGCACAAACACUCAAAUUUGUGUCUGCUAAAAAAAAUGUCUUGUGUUUAUACAUCAUUGAUUAGCGGAUGUUGGACUGCAUCUGCAGGGUAUGUCAGUGAUGCUCUACACACCUCUUAGCAACCACAGGUAGCUGGCAAGCCUUGAGCAUGAAAUAAUGUGCUAUAUAAUUGAAAGAAAAGAAAUAUAACUGCAUAGCACAUAGUUGCUGGUGCCAUGCCAUCAGGCAGUUAGAUUUUGCUUUACUACAGCCAUGCAGGUUUGCCUUUCAAAAUUCCCACAAAAUGUGAGAUGACCAGCUCAUAAUUCCUAUCAACUUGUAUGGAUGGGGCUUCAGGCAACAGAAAGGAAUAUUGGUCGGAGUUUAUGUUCGGUUUGUAACCUUAUCUAAAAGAUUAUAUGCGAAGCUGAUAAAAUAUUGGCCAGUUAGGGGGUAUCUGUAUGAUCAUUAUUUUUUUUAUAUAGUCAAAGGUCUAUUAAUUUAUCAAUGACUAUUCAUGCAUAUGUAGUUAUCAUAUCAAAAUUUGAAGCAUUUUUGAGGGAUAUCAAAAACUCCUAUAAUGUUCUUGCAAUAGCCUUCAUGAUUUAGAAGGCAAAUUCUAUAAUUCUCAUUUCAGUUUGUAUAUAUGAAAUUUCAAAAUACUGAUACAUUUUUCACUUCUGAAUACCUUUCAUACACAACUGAUUAUGAAAAGUAUCACUCCUAGUUUUUAUAA